UUUUCCCGUUAGGGGGAACUGCGUAGGUAUCAUGGGCACACUUAAAAACUUUAGCACCUAAUCCGAAUCAACCCCCUUAGUUGGGGACCGUCCCGCCAGGUCGGCAGUUAUCUACAAAGUGGACGCCUGCUGCAGUGUAUCGGGCCAUAUCAUGUCGAGCGUAUGGGUCCCUGUCGGGGGACCUGAGCCCAGUAGCCCUUAUGUUUUAAACCCAUUCUCGAAUACUGCACAUAGAGCGUGCACGAAAGUCUCUGCUCUUAAGUAGAUAGCAACUUUCAGCAGUGAUCGUUCAGGCUCUCACAUCGAUGAAGAGACAAUGCGAUCUGCGAUAUGUAAUGCGAAUCGCAGGAUUCAGUGAGUCAUGGAAAUUUUGAACGCAUAUGGCACUUCCGGUUCAGUCCUGGGAGUAUGCCUGCAUCAGAGUCCGAACAUCAAACUCGGGUCUCUUCAUUUCGUGUAUUCGCUGGAUGGGGACGCCAGACAUGAGGAGUCUUCCGGUAGGUCUUCGGGCUGCUUGCCAGUCCCUUGAAACGUGCUGAACUGUACUUCUCUAUGCUCGAAAAGCGUGACGAUGUUGCUUGUGGAGUAUCCAUGUGCGUCCAGUCGGCCACCGGUCAGUGUGCUUCGGCGAUUAAUGGAGGAGUGUAUGAUUUGCGGUAAGGUUGGAUUCGGUUGAACACAGCGCCUAUUGUACCUUCCACGUGCUGCGGCGGCACGGAAUGGGUGAACAGGAAAAGGGCGACGCUUUCCCUUCGCACCGGAGGUGUCCGUCACGCUAGUCGGGAGAGGGCCUCGGCACUCAACAGCUCCCUUCAACUUGGACCUUGUCAGUCAGCCGCGCGGGACAGUCCCCCACCUAAGCAUGUUGGUACGGUUCACGUCAAACGAUUUAGGGUGGUAAGUUUUGCGGACCU
rnacentral:rRNA from 1 species